CACUUGUCAGCGUUAGGGAUGGAAGCGGCAUCCUUUUGCGGCGGCGCGCAGCAGAGCCGCAAAAGAUACAGCGGACAGCCCGGCCAACG
rnacentral:sRNA from 1 species